UACGGGGGGGAGCAAGCGUUGUUCGGAUUUACUGGGCGUAAAGGGCGCGUAGGCGGCGUAACAAGUCACUUGUGAAAUCUCCGGGCUUAACUCGGAGCGGUCAAGUGAUACUGUUGUGCUAGAGUGCGGAAGGGGCUACUGGAAUUCUCGGUGUAGCGGUGAAAUGCGUAGAUAUCGAGAGGAACACCUGCGGCGAAGGCGGGUAGCUGGGCCGACACGUGACGCUGAAGCGCGAAAGCUAGGGGAGCGAACGGG
rnacentral:rRNA from 1 species